UGUACAAGAACGCUUUCCCCAAAACCAGGGAUUCGCAUAACCCUAUCUAAGGGGCAAAGCUGGAGUUGAAGAAACCUCUAGCAGUGACUCACUAACAGGUUGCUAUUGAAUUAUGAUGGGAUUGCCAGAAAAAGGACUAAUGGGAGGAUUCACAGCAACAUGAAAUGCCUUCAAUGGUGACAAGGUCAGCAUUCUGAAUAUUUCCUCUGGGUCCCUUCGCAAUCCAGCAUUCUCAGCACAUUAGAAAGAGAUGCUAGUUGUUAACCCUUCCAUUCGUCCACUAGGAGUCAUCUGAACCAUUCUGUGGCUGAAUCGUGCUGCAGAGAGAAUUAUCUGGGACCAUCCUGAAACACCAGCACCACUCCUUGCUGCACUGUGGCUUUCCUUUGGAGCUCUCCCCUCAAAGGACUGACCUGGCCUGCCGCUGAUAAGAUCACCGCACAAGGAAUGGCGAGACUUCACGGCGCGGUUAUGUGAUGCUGCCCAGCAGCAGAUGACGGAGAGCCACGUCCAUUUCUUCACCGACCUCUCUGCGGCAGAGAAGGCUUUCGUCCUACGGCGAGCUGUCAAGGCCAU